UCUGUGCCACCAGUAAGUACAGAUAGUAGUAUAAAUCCCUGCGCACAGUCCCCGCAGCCGGACAAUUUUCUCAUGAAAUCUAUGCAGCCUACUCACUUUUUAUAGCUACUGUUUACAGGCCUCCUGGGCCAUAUACAGCGUUCCUCACUGAGUUCCCUGAAUUCCUAUCGGACCUUGUAGUCAUGGCAGAUAAUAUUCAAAUUUUUGGUGACUUUAAUAUUCACAUGGAAAAGUUCACAGACCCACUCCAAAAGGCUUUUGGAGCCAUCGACUCAGUGGGUUUUGUUCAACAUGUCUCCGGACCUACUCACUGCCACAGUCAUACUCUGGACCUAGUUUUGUCCCAUGGAAUAAAUGUUGUGGAUCUUAAUGUUUUUCCUCAUAACCCUGGACUAUCGGACCACCAUUUUAUUACGUUUGCAAUCACAACAAAUAAUCUGCUCAGACCCCAACCAAGGAUCAUCAAAAAAUCAUUCACCGUGCUAUAAAUUCUCGGACAAUCCAAAGAUUCCUAGAUGCCCUUCUAGACUCCCUCUGCCUACCCAAGGACGUCAGAGGACAUAAAUCAGUUAACCACCUAACUGAGGAACUCAAUUUAACCUUGCGCAAUACCCUAGAUGCAGUCGCAACCCUAAAAACGAAAAUCAUUUGUCAUAAGAAACUAGCUCCCUGGUAUACAGAAAAUACCCGAGCUCUGAAGCAUGCUUCCAGAAAAUUGGAACGGAAAUGGCGCUACACCAAACUGGAAGUCUUCCGACUAGCUUGGAAAGACAGUACCGUCCAGUAUGGAAGAGCCCUCACUGCUGCUCGAUCAUCCUAUUUUUCCAACUUAAUUGAGGAAAAUAAGAACAAUCCAAAAUGUAUUUUUGAUACUGUUGCAAAGCUAACUAAAAAGCAGCAAUCCCCAAGAGGAUGGCUUUCACUUCAGCAGUGAUAAAUUCAUGAACUUCUUUGAGGAAAAGAUCAUGAUCAGUAGAAAGCAAAUUAGGGACUCCUCUUUAAAUCUGAGUAUUCCUACAAAGCUCAGUUGUCCUGAGUCUGUACAACUCUGCCAGGACCUAGGAUCAAGGGAGACACUCAAGUGUUUUAGUACUAUAUCUCCUGACACAUUGAUGAAAAUAAUCAUGGCCUCUAUACGUUCAAGCUGCAUACUGGACCCUAUUCCAACUAAACUACUGAAAGAGCUGCUUCCUGUUUGGUCCUCCUAUGUUGAACAUAAUAAACGGCUCUCUAUCCACCGGAUGUGUACCAAACUGACUAAAAGUGGCAGUAAUAAAGCCUCUCUUGAAAAGGCCAAACCGUGACCCAGAAAAUAUAAAAAACUAUCGGCCUAUAUCGAAUCUCCCAUUCCUCUCAAAAUUUUUAGAAAAAGCUGUUGCACAGCAACUCACUGCCUUUCUGAAGACAAACAAUGUUUGUCCCCAUCAUAGCACUGAGACUGCACUUGUGAAGGUGGUAAAUUACCUUUCAAUGGCGUCAGAACGAGGCUCUGCAUCUGUCCUCAUGCUCCUAGACCUUAGUGCUGCUUUUGAUACGAUAAAUCACCACAUUCUUUUGGAGAGAUUGGAAACCCAAAAUGGUCUACACGGACAAGUUCUGGCCUGGUUUAGAUCUUAUCUGUCGGAAAGAUAUCAAUUUGUCUCUGUGGAUGGUUUGUCAUCUGACAAAUCAUCUGUAAAUUUCGGUGUUCCUCAAGGCUCCGUUUUAGGACCACUAUUGUUUUCACUAUAUAUUUUAGCUCUUGGUGAUGUCAUUCGGAAACAUAAUGUUAACUUUCACUGUGGAUGACACAGCUGUACAUGUCGCUGAAACAUGGUGAAGCCCCAAAAUUGCCCUCCCUGGAAGCCUGUGUGUCAGACAUAAGGAAGUGGAUGGUGGCAAAUGUUAUACUUUUAAACUUGGACAAAACAGAGAUGCUAGUUCUAGGUCCCAAGAAACAAAGAAAUCUGUUAAAUCUGACAAUUAAUCUUGAUGGUUGUACAGUCAUCUCAAAUAAAACUGUGAAGGACCUUGGUGUUACUCUGGACCCUGAUCUCUCUUUUGACGAACAUAUCAUGACUGUUUCAAGGACAGCUUUUUUCCAUCUACGUAACAUUGCAAAAAUCAGAAACUUUCUGUCCAAAAAUGAUGCAGAAAGAUUAAUCCAUGCUUUUGUCACUUCUAGGUUAGACUACUACAAUGCUCUACUUUCCGGCUACCCGGAUAAAGCACUAAAUAAACUUCAGUUAGUGCUAAACACGGCUGCUAGAAUCUUGACUAGAAUCCCAAAAAAUGAUCAUAUUACUCCAGUGCUAGCCUCUCUACACUGGCUUCCUGUUAAGGCAAGGGCUGAUUUCAAGAUUUUACUGCUAACCUACAAAGCAUUACAUGGGCUUGCUCCUACCUAUCUUUCCGAUUUGGUCCUGUCGUACAUACCUACACGUACGCUACGGUCACAAGACGCAGGCCUCUUUACUGUCCCUAGAAUUUCUAAGCAAACAGCUGGAGGCAGGGCUUUCUCCUAUAUAGCUCAAUUUUUAUGGAAUGGUCUGCCCACCCAUGUGAGAGACGCAGACUCGGUCUCAACAUUUAAGUCUUUACUGAAGACUCUUCAGUAGGUCAUAUGAUUGAGUGUAGUCUGGCCCAGGAGUGUGAACCCUAUUACAGGGGCUGAGUCACUGGCUUACUGGUGCUCUUCCAUGCCUUCCCUAGGAGGGGUGCAUCACUUGAGUGGGUUGAGUCACUGACGUGAUCUUCCUGCCCCCCCCUUGGGUUGUGCCGUGGGGGAGAUCUUCGUGGGCUAUACUCGGCCUCGUCUCAGGAUGGUAAGUUGUUGGUUGAAGAUAUCCCUCUAGUGGUGUGGGGGCUGUGCUUUGACAAAGUGGGUGGGGUUAUAUCCUGCCUGUUUGGCCCUGUCCGGUGUAUCGUCGUACGGGCCCAGAGUGUCUCCCGACCCCUCCUGUCUCAGCCUCCAGUAUUUAUGCUGCAGUAGUUUAUGUGUCGGGGGCUAGGGUAAGUCUGUUAUAUCUGGAGUAUUUCUCCUGUCUUAUCCGGCGUCCUGUGUGAAUUUAAGUAUACCUUCUCUAAUUCUCUUUCUUACUUUCUCUCGGAGGACCUGAGCCCUAGGACCAACUAGGACCAACAGGACUAACUGGCCUGAUGACUCCUUGCUGUCCCCAGUCCACCUGGUCGUGUUGCUGCUCCAGUUUCAACGGUUCUGCCUGCGGCUAUGGAACCCUGUUCACCGAACGUGCUACUGUGACAGGGGUGUAACACUACCUGUCCCAGACCUGCUGUUUUCAACUCUCUAGAGACAGCAAGAGCAGUAGAGAUACUCUGAAUGAUCGGCUAUGAAAAGCCAACUGACAUUUACUCCUGAGGUGCUGACCUGUUGCACCCUCGACAACCACUGUGAUUAUUAUUAUUUUACCCUUUUGGUCAUCUAUGAACAUUUGAACAUCUUGGCCAUGUUCUAUUAUAAUCUCCACCCGGCACAGCCAGAAGGGGACUGGCCUCCCCUCAUAGCCUGGUUCCUCUCUAUGUUUCUUCCUAGGUUCUGGCCUUUCUAGGGAGUUUUUCCUAGCCACUGUGCUUCUACACCUGCAUUGCUUGCUGUUUGGGGUUUUAGGCUGGGUUUCUGUUUGAGGUCGACCGAUUAAUCAGAAUUGACGAUUAAUUAGGGCCAAUUUCAAGUUUUCAUAACAAUUGGUAAUCAGCAUUUUUGGAUGCCGAUCAUGGCAGAUUACAUUGCACUCCACGAGGAGACUGCGUGGCAGGCUGACUGCCUGUUAUGCGAGUGCAGCAAGGAGCCAAGGUAAGGUGCCAGCUAGCAUUAAACGUAUCUUAUAAAAAACAAUCAAUCUUAACAUAAUCACUAGUUAACUACACAUGGUUGAUGAUAUUACUAGUUUAUCUAGCUUGUCCUGCGUUGCAUAUAAUCGAUGCGGUGCCUGUUAAUUUAUCAUUGAAUCACAGCCUACUUCGCCAAACGGGGGAUUUAACAAGCGCAUUCGCGAUAAACGCACUGUGGUUGCACCAACGCGUACCUAACCAUAAACAUCAAAGCCUUUCUUAAAAUCAUUACACAAGUUUAUAUUUUUAAACCCGCAUAUUUAGUUAAUAUUGCCUGUUAACAUGACUUUCUUUUAACUCGGGAAAUUGUGACACUUCUCUUGCGUUCUGUGCAACAGAGUCAGGGUAUAUGCAGCAGUUUGGGCUGCCUUGAUCGUUGCGAACUGUGUGAAGACCAUUUCUUCCUAACAAAGACAGCCAACUUCGCCAAACGGGGAUGAUUUAACAAAAGCGCAUUUGCAAAAAAAGCACAAUCGUUGCAUGAAUGUACCUAAUCAUAAACAUCAAUGCCUUUCUUAAAAUCAAUACACGGAAGUAUCUUUUUUUAAACCUGCAUAUUUAGUUAAAAGAAAUUCAUGUUAGCAUGCAAUUUUAAACGAGGGAAAUUGUGUCACUUCUCUUGCGUUCAUUGCACGCAGAGUCAGGGUAUAUGCAACAGUUUGGGCCGCCUGGCUCGUUGCGAACUAAUUUGUCAGAAUUUUACGUACUUAUGACAUAACAUUGAAGAUUGUGCAAUGUAACAGCAAUAUUUAGAUUUAGGGUUGCCACCCGUUAGAUAAAAUACAGAACGGUUCCGUAUUUCACUGAAAGAAUAAACGUUUUGUUUUCGAAAUGAAAGUUUCCAGAUUUGACCAUAUUAAUGACCUAAGGCUCGUGUUUCUGUGUGUUAUUAUAUUAUAAUUAAGUCUAUGAUUUGAUAGAGCAGUCUGACUGAGCGGUGGUAGGCAGCAGCAGGAUCGUAAACAUUCAUUCAAACAGCACUUUACUGCGUUUGCCAGCAGCUCUUCGCAAUGCUUCAAUCAUCGCGCUGUUUAUGACUUCAAGCCUAUCAACUCCCGAGAUUAGGCUGGCAAUUCUAAAGUACCUAUUAGAACAUCCAAUAGUCAAAGGUAUAUGAAAUAUAAAAAAGUAUAGAGAGAAAUAGUCCUAUAAUAACUACAACCUAAAACUUCUUACCUGGGAAUAUUGAAGACUCAUGUUAAAAGGAACCACCAGCUUUCAUGAUCAAUCAACCUACCAGGUACAACUCCAAAUCCGUAAACACGGGCACCCUCAUUGAUGUCAUCCUAAUUAACUCGCCCUCCAAAUACACCUCUGAGGUUUUCAAUCAAGAUCUCAGCGAUCACUGCCUCAUUGCCUGCAUCCGUAAUGGGUCUGCGACCAAACGACCACCCCUCAUCAUUGUCAAACGCUCCCUAAAACACUUCUGCGAGCAGGCCUUUCUAAAUCGACCUGGCCGGGAUAUCCUGGAAUGACAUUGACCUCAUCCCGUCAGUAGAUGAUGCCUGGCUAUUCUUUAAAAGUGCCUUCCUCACCAUCUUAAAUAGGCAUGCCCCAUUCAAAAAAUGUAGAACUAUGAAUAGAUAUAGUCCUUGGUUCACUCCAGACCUGUCUGUCCUUGACCAGCACAAAAACAUCCUGUGGCGUUCUGCGUUACCAUCGAAUAGCCCCCGUGAUAUGCAACUUUUCAGGGAAGUUAGGAACAAAUAUACACAUGCAGUUAGGAAAGCUAAGAAUAGCUUUUUCAAACAGAAAUGUGCAUCCUGUAGUACUAACUCAAAACAUUUCUGGAACACUGUAAAGUCCAUGGAGAAUAAGAGCACCUCCUCCCAGCUGCACACUGCUCUGAGGCUAGGAAACACUGUCACCACAGAUAAAUCCACGAUAAUCGAGAAUUUCAAUAAGCAUUUCUCUACGGCUGGCCAUGCUUUCCACCUGGCUACCCCUACCCCGGUAAACUGCCCGGCACCCUCCACAGCAACCCGCCAAAGCCCCCACCAUUUCUCCUUCACCCAAAUCCAGAUAGUUGAUGUUCUGAAAGAGCGGCAAAAUCUGGACCCCUCCAAAUCAGCCGGGCUAGACAAUCUGGACCCUCUCUUUCUAAAAUGAUCUGCCGAAAUUGUUGCAACCCCUAUUACUAGCCUGUUCAACCUGUCUUUCGUAUCAUCUGAGAUUCCCUAAGAUUGGAAAGCUGCCGCGGUCAUCCCCCUCUUCAAAGGGGGUGACACUCUAGACCCAAACUGCUACAGAUCUAUAUCUAUCCUACCCUGUCUUUCUAAGGUCUUCGAAAGCCAAGUAAACAAACAGAUCACCGACCAUUUCGAAUCCCACCGUACCUUCUCCGCUAUGCAAUCUGGUUUCAGAGCUGGUUAUGGGUGCACCUCAGCCACGCUCAAGGUCCUAAACGACAUCAUAACCGCCAUCGAUAAGAGACAUUACUGUGCAGCCGUAUUCAUCGACCUGGCCAAGGCUUUCGACUCUGUCAAUCACCACAUUCUUAUUGGCAGUAUCGACAGCCUAGGUUUCUCAAAUAAUUGCCUCGCCUGGUUUACCAACUACGUCUCUGGUAGAGUUCAGUGUGUCAAAUCGGAGGGCCUGUUGUCCGGACCUCUGGCAGUCUCUAUGGGGGUACCACAGGGUUCAAACCUCGGGCCCACUCUCUUCUCUGUAUACAUCAAUGAUGUUGCUCUUCCUGCUGGUGAUUCUCUGAUACACUACGCAGACGACACCAUUCUGUAUACUUCUGGCCCCUCUUUGGACAGUGUGUUAACUAACCUCUAGACGAGCUUCAAUGCCAUACAACUCUUCUUCCGUGGCUUCCAACUGCUCUUAAACACAAGUAAAACUAAAUGCAUGCUAUUCAACCGAUCACUGCCCGCACCUGCUCGCCCGUCCAGCAUCACUACUCUGGAGGGCUCUGACUUAGAAUACGUGGACAACUACAAAUACCUAGGUGUCUGGUUAGACUGUAAACUCUCCUUCCAGACUCACAUCAAGCAUCUCCAAUCCAAUAUUAAAUCUAGAAUCGGCUUCCUAUAUCGCAACAAAGCAUCCUUCACUCAUGCAGCCAAACAUAACCUCGUAAAACUGACCAUCCUACCGAUCCUCGACUUUGGUGAUGUCAUCUAUAAAAUAGCCUCCAACACCCUUCUCAACAAAUUGGAUGCAGUCUAUCACAGUGCCAUCCGUUUUGUCACCAAAGACCCAUACACUACCCACCAUUGCGACCUGUACGCUCUCAUUGCUUGGCCCUCGCUUCAUACUCGUCGCCAAACCCACUGGCUACAGGUUAUCUACAAGUCUCUGCUAGGUAAAGCCCCGCAUUAUCUCAGCUCACUGGUCACCAUAGCAGCACCCACUCGUAGCACGCGCUCCAGCAGGUAUAUCUCACUGGUCACCCCUAAAGCGAAUUCCUCUUUUGGUCGUCUUUCCUUCCAGUUCUCUGCUGCCAAUGACUGGAACGAACUGCAAAAAUCUCUGAAGCUGGAGACUCAUAUCUCCCUCACCAGCUGUCAGAGCAGCUCACAGAUCACUGCACCUGUACAUAGCCCAUCUGUAAACAGCCCAUCUAUCUACCUACCUCAUCCCCAUACUGUAUUUAUUUAUUUAUCUUGCUCCUUUGCACCCCAGUAUCUCUACUUGCACAUUCAUCUUCUGCACAUCUACCAUUCCAGUGUUUAAUUGCUAUAUUGUAAUUACUUCGCCACCAUGGCCUAUUUAUUGCCUUAACUCCCUUAUCUUACCUCAUUUGCACUCACUAUAUAUAGACUUUUUGUUUUCUUUUGUUCUACUGUAUUAUUGACUAUGUUUUGUUUAUUCCAUGUGUAACUCUGUGUUGUUGUAUGUGUAGAAUUGCUAAGCUUUAUCUUGGCCAGGUCGCAGUUGCAAAUGAGAACUUGUUCUCAACUAGCCUACCUGGUUAAAUAAA